GAUGAACACUGGCGGCGUGCCUAAUACAUGCAAGUCGAGCGAACGGACGAGAAGCUUGCUUCUCUGAUGUUAGCGGCGGACGGGUGAGUAACACGUGGAUAACCUACCUAUAAGACUGAGAUAACUUCGGAAAACCGGAGCUAAUACCGGAUGAUCUUUUGAACCGCAUGGGUCAAAAGUGAAAGACGGUCUUGCUGUCACUUAUAGAUGGAUCCGGGCUGCAUUGGCUAGUUGGUAAGGUAAUGGCUUACGAAGGCAACGAUGCAUAGCCGACGGGAGAGGGUGAUCGGCCACACUGGAACUGGGACACGGUCCAGACUCCUACGGGAGGCAGCAGUAGGGAAUCGUACGCAAUGGGGGGAAGCCUUACGGAGCAACGCCGCGUGAGUUAUGGAGGUCUGCGGAUCGUAAAACUCUGUUAUUAGUGAAGAACAUAUGUGUAAGUAACUGUGCACAUCUUGACGGUACCUAAUCAGAAAGCCCCGGCUAACUACGUG
rnacentral:rRNA from 1 species